CCUAGCUGUGUUGGCUUUCUAACCCGCACCACUUAUCGUGGUGGGAGACAGUGUCAGGCGGGCAGUUUGACUGGGGCGGUCGCCUCCUAAAAGGGAACGGAGGCGCUCAAAGGUUCCCUCAGAAUGGGUGGAAAUCAUUCAUAGAGUGUAAAGGCAUAAGGGAGCUUGACUGCGAGACCUACAAGUCGAGCAGGGUCGAAAGACGGACUUAGUGAUCCGGGGGUUCCGCAUGGAAGGGGCAUCGCCCAACGGAUA
rnacentral:rRNA from 1 species